rnacentral:rRNA from 1 species
GAUGAACGCUGGCGGCGUGCUUAACACAUGCAAGUCGAACGGUGAAGCAGGAGCUUGCUCCUGUGGAUCAGUGGCGAACGGGUGAGUAACACGUGAGCAAUCUGCCCUGGACUCUGGGACAAGCGUUGGAAACGACGUCUAAUACCGGAUACGAGGCGUGGGGGCAUCCCCAACGCCUGGAAAGAACUUCGGUCCAGGAUGAGCUCGCGGCCUAUCAGGUAGUUGGUGAGGUAACGGCUCACCAAGCCUACGACGGGUAGCCGGCCUGAGAGGGUGACCGGCCACACUGGGACUGAGACACGGCCCAGACUCCUACGGGAGGCAGCAGUGGGGAAUAUUGCACAAUGGGCGCAAGCCUGAUGCAGCAACGCCGCGUGAGGGACGACGGCCUUCGGGUUGUAAACCUCUUUUAGCAGGGAAGAAGCGAAAGUGACGGUACCUGCAGAAAAAGCGCCGGCUAACUACGUGCCAGCCGCCGCGGUAACAC